AUACAAACAAAGCACACAUAUUAAUACUGGAACACUACAGACAUGAUUAGCAUGGCCCCUACACAAGAAUGACACGCACACUCAUGAAGAGUUCCAUAGUUUU